GAUGAACGCUGGCGGCGUGCCUAAUACAUGCAAGUCGAGCGAACGGACGAGAAGCUUGCUUCUCUGAUGUUAGCGGCGGACGGGUGAGUAACACGUGGAUAACCUACCUAUAAGACUGGGAUAACUUCGGGAAACCGGAGCUAAUACCGGAUGAUAUUUUGAACCGCAUGGUUCAAAAGUGAAAGACGGUCUUGCUGUCACUUAUAGAUGGAUCCGCGCUGCAUUAGCUAGUUGGUAAGGUAACGGCUUACCAAGGCAACGAUGCAUAGCCGACCUGAGAGGGUGAUCGGCCACACUGGAACUGAGACACGGUCCAGACUCCUACGGGAGGCAGCAGUAGGGAAUCUUCCGCAAUGGGCGAAAGCCUGACGGAGCAACGCCGCGUGAGUGAUGAAGGUCCUCGGAUCGUAAAACUCUGUUAUUAGGGAAGAACAUAUGUGUAAGUAGCUGUGCACAUCUUGACGGUACCUAAUCAGAAAGCCACGGCUAACUACGUG
rnacentral:rRNA from 1 species